CCCGCUGAACUUAAGCAUAUCAGUAAGCGGAGGAAAAGAAACCAACAGGGAUUUCCUGAGUAACUGCGAGUGAAAAGGGAAGAGCUCAGCGCUAAAAAUGCUUGCAUCUUGUAAGCAUUGGUGUGGCGUUUGGAGAGUCCUAUCUGUGGGUGCAUCGCGGUCUAAAUUUCACUGGAACGUGGUUGCAAAGAUGGUUUUACACCAGUCGGGCCGUAGUGCCCCGCAGAGACGACCCUCUUGGAGUCGGGUUGUUUGGAAACGCAGCCCAAAGCGGGUGGUAAACUUCACCUAAAGCUAAAUAUGGCUACGAGACCGAUAGCAAACAAGUACUGUGAAGGAAAGUUGAAAAGCACUUUGAAAAGAGAGUGCAAGAGAACGUGAAACCGUUAUAGUGGAAGCGGAUGGAGCCGACGUAUCCGGCGCGUAUUCAGCCACAGGUCGGCAUGCGAUGUGUGUUCGAUGUUCUGCAAAGUCGUCGGCAUACAUUUUCGUGUUGGCAAGUGGUGCACUUGCGCGCAGAGUGCGCCGAAUCGGUCGAGCACGCCGUUGGAAGACCGAAAAGAGGACAAGCUUCGGCUUGAAACCUGGUCGGUCGGAUGGCGGAUGGGUUUGGCUGUUGAAGGGGGAUUGGUGAAUUCGUGGUUGGCGGUGGAUAGUAGGAUUAUUCGGGUCCGGUGCAUGCAUUGAGCCCCCAUGGUUUUGCUGUCCGCUGUUCGCUGCUCAGUCCCACAUUCGGUGUCUAGUCGGUCACCCAUUUGACCCGUCUUGAAACACGG
rnacentral:rRNA from 1 species